AAAAACUGUUCUCUUCCUAGCUGGAAAAGAUUACGAAAUAAGCAUUUUUCAUCGUUUUCUCUACUCAUUUCAUGCAUUAAUUACUUUAUUUAUAUAUAUUCUUUAAUUUUAUACUAAUUGCGACUCGCGUUUCAUUAAUUUUAUUAAUUAAUUUUGCACAUUAUUUUCCACGUCCUCAUGCAACUAACUUCAAGACAGUGAGUAAGCGGGCCUUGUCGAAGCGCGAAUGUCGCUGUCCAUCAUUUGAAGACCAAUAAUUUCUUCAUUGUUCCGUUGAAAAGCGAAACAAAAUUCUGGCAAAAUUGUGCGCGUUCGUGCCCGAUGUCUAGUGCUGAAGUCGCCGAUAAUUCCGUUGACCCCCCGGCAAAAAAGCGGAAGCUAAAUACAGGAGAAUCCCGUUCCAAUUCCUCAGCAAUGGCGAACAAUGGAACGCGCGUGGAAGAUGAAAUCGACGAAAGUUUGUAUUCGAGGCAGCUCUACGUGCUGGGCCACGAUGCUAUGCGUCGGAUGGCAACUUCGGAUGUGUUGAUUUCGGGUCUCGGAGGACUCGGCGUGGAGAUCGCGAAAAAUGUGAUUCUCGGUGGAGUGAAGUCAGUGACUUUGCACGAUGAGCGAACGUGCACGGUUGCCGAUUUAUCUUCCCAGUUUUACUUGUCGGAGAGUGCCGUGGGUCAGAAUCGCGCUCUGGCGUCGUGCGAGCAGCUCGCGGAGUUGAACCACUAUGUGCCUACGACCGCCCACACCGGGCCUUUGACUGAAGAUUUUUUGAAGAAGUUUCGUGUUGUGGUGCUCACCGGUGCUUCCUGGGCCGAGCAGGAGCGGGUUUCGGCCAUCACUCACGCGAACAACAUCGCGCUGGUGAUCGCGGACACUCGAGGGCUGUUCUCGCAGGUGUUUUGCGACUUCGGGCCGGAGUUCACGGUGGUGGACGUGAACGGCGAGAACCCCGUGUCGGCCAUGGUGGCCGAUAUUACACAUGAGUACGAGGCCGUGGUCACUUGCUUGGACGACACCCGGCACGGGCUUGAGGACGGCGACUAUGUCACGUUCAGUGAAGUUCAAGGCAUGACAGAACUGAAUGGCUGUGAACCACGAAAAAUCAAAGUGCUAGGACCAUACACUUUCAGCAUUGGAGACACUACAAACUUCACAAAAUAUGAACGUGGAGGUAUCGUCACACAGGUCAAGAUGCCCAAAAAAUUACAUUUCAAACCUCUGAAAGAAUCCUUCAAAGAACCUGAAUUUGUUAUUACUGAUUUUGGCAAGUUCGACUACCCUCAACAACUACAUGCUGGGUUUUCUGCUUUGCAUAAGUUUGAGGAUGGUGAGGGUCGUCUUCCGAAGCCCUGGAGUGACGCAGACGCUGCUAAGUUCAUGGACUACGUGAAAGCAGUGACUUGUGACUGUGACAAGAAGGAUGGAGAACUUGAACUCAAUACUGAGCUGCUGGAAACAUUCUGCAAGGUGUCAUCCGGUGACCUGAACCCAAUGAACGCUGCCAUCGGUGGUGUGGUCGCCCAGGAGGUGAUGAAGGCUUGCUCCGGCAAGUUCCACCCCAUCGUCCAGUGGCUCUACCUCGACGCCAUCGAGUGCCUCCCCAAGGACCGCUCGCUCCUCACCGAGGAGAACUGCAAGCCUGUUGGAUCCAGAUAUGAUGGACAAGUGGCCGUGUUCGGCAAACACUUCCAGAAGAAGCUCGGUGAACUGAAGUACUUCAUUGUUGGCGCGGGUGCGAUCGGCUGCGAACUGCUCAAGAACUUCGCGAUGAUCGGUGUGGGGGCCGACGGCGGCUGCGUCACCGUCACCGACAUGGACCUCAUCGAGAAGUCCAACCUCAACCGCCAGUUCCUCUUCCGGCCCUACGACGUGCAGAAGCCCAAGUCCAGCACCGCUGCCAGGGUGAUCAAGCGCAUGAACCCUUUCAUGAACGUGGUGGCGCAGGAAAACCGCGUGUGCCCCGAAACCGAGUGCGUGUAUGACGACGCCUUCUUCGAGGCAUUGGACGGAGUCGCCAACGCGCUCGACAACGUUGACGCCCGCAUCUACAUGGACCGCCGCGCCGUCUACUACCGCAAGCCGCUGCUCGAGAGCGGCACGCUCGGCACCAAGGGCAACACGCAGGUCGGUACUCGCGGCUCCCUCGUCUGCUCGCUCGCGCUCCCACAGACGCGCGUCUACAUGGACCGCCGCGCCGUCUACUACCGCAAGCCGCUGCUCGAGAGCGGCACGCUCGGCACCAAGGGCAACACGCAGGUCGGUACUCGCGGCUCCCUCGUCUGCUCGCUCGCGCUCCCACAGACGCGCGUCUACAUGGACCGCCGCGCCGUCUACUACCGCAAGCCGCUGCUCGAGAGCGGCACGCUCGGCACCAAGGGCAACACGCAGGUCGGUACUCGCGGCUCCCUCGUCUGCUCGCUCGCGCUCCCACAGACGCGCGUCUACAUGGACCGCCGCGCCGUCUACUACCGCAAGCCGCUGCUCGAGAGCGGCACGCUCGGCACCAAGGGCAACACGCAGGUGGUGGUGCCGUUCCUCACCGAGUCCUACAGCUCGUCGCAGGACCCGCCCGAGAAAAGCAUCCCGAUUUGCACGCUCAAGAACUUCCCGAACGCGAUCGAGCACACGCUGCAGUGGGCGCGCGACGAGUUCGAGGGACUGUUCCGUCAGGCCGCCGAGCACGCGGCGCAGUUCCUCCGCGACCCGCAGUUCAUCGAGCGCACCAUGCGGCUGCCAGGCAGCCAGCCGCUGGACGCCGUCGAGAGCGUGCGGCACGCAAUCAACGAGCGCCCGCUGAACUUCGACGAGUGCGUGACCUGGGCGCGGCUACACUGGGAGGCGCAGUACUGCAACCAGAUCAAGCAGCUGCUAUACAACUUCCCGCCCGACCAGCAGACCACUAGCGGAGCUCCCUUCUGGUCUGGACCCAAGCGAUGCCCUGCACCGCUGAACUUCGAUCCAGAAGACCCGUUACAUCUGGAUUAUGUGGUGGCAGCCGCUAAUUUGCGCGCGCAGGUGUAUGGGAUACCGACGUGCGUGGACAGGGAACACAUCGCCAAGGUUGCUGCUAGUGUGCAGGUGCCAGAAUUCAGUCCCAAGUCAGGCAUCAAGAUCGCGGUCACCGACGCUCAACUGCAGCAGAACAACGACGAAAUGGACCAGGACAAGGUCAAGAACAUGAUCGCAGAACUGCCUCCUCCAUCCAAGCUGGCCGGACUGACCAUCACGCCGCUGGACUUCGAGAAAGAUGAUGAUACCAACUUCCACAUGGACUUCAUCGUGGCUGCUUCUAACCUGCGAGCUGCGAACUACAAGAUCCCGCCGGCGGAUCGCCACCGCUCUAAAUUGAUCGCGGGGAAGAUUAUACCUGCGAUCGCUACGACUACGUCUGUGGUGGCCGGGCUGGUGUGCCUCGAGCUGUACAAGCUGGCGCAGGGCUUCAACUCGCUGGAGGUGUUCAAGAACGGCUUCGUGAACCUGGCGCUGCCGUUCUUCGGCUUCUCCGAGCCCAUCGCCGCGCCCACCAACACCUACUACGGCCACAAGUGGACGCUCUGGGACCGCUUCGAGGUCAAGGGCGAGAUUACGCUGCAGCAGUUCCUAGACUACUUCAAGAACGAGCACAAGCUGGAGAUCACGAUGCUGUCGCAGGGCGUGUGCAUGCUGUACUCGUUCUUCAUGCCCAAGGCCAAGUGCCAGGAGCGCCUGGCGCUGCCCAUGUCGCAGGUCGUGGCCAAGGUCUCCAAGAAGCGCCUCGAACCACACGUGCGCGCGCUCGUCUUCGAGCUGUGCUGCAACGACGACGCCGGCGAGGACGUCGAGGUGCCCUACGUGCGCUACACGCUGCCCUAGGCGCCGCGAGCCACGCUGCACGCGGGUGCACGCUACACGCGGGUGUAGGUACGCUACACGUGUAGGCACGCUACACGCGGGUGUAGGUACGCUACACGUGUAGGCACGCUACACGCGGGUGCACGCUACACGCGGGUGUAGGCACGCUACACGCGGGUGUAGGUACGCUACACGUGUAGGCACGCUACACGCGGGUGUAGGUACGCUACACGUGUAGGCACGCUACACGCGGGUGUAGGUACGCUACACGUGUAGGCACGCUACACGCGGGUGUAGGUACGCUACACGUGUAGGCACGCUACACGCGGGUGUAGGUACGCUACACGUGUAGGCACGCUACACGCGGGUGUAGGUACGCUACACGCGGGUGUGGCCCGCUCCCCGAGCCCGGAAGCCCAGCACGAAAUUAUGAGGGUAUUUUAGGAGAGAUGACAAAUUGAGACGUUUUAUAUGGCUCGCGUGCGCGAGAGUGUACAGUGAUAGUGAUACCGUGUGACUUUAUAUAUUUUUGUGCUUCGAACGCGCUUUCGUCUGUCGAUUGUUUCGCCGUAUAUUUAUAGUAGUUUAAUUUUAUUAUUUUUCGCUCACCACUCGCCGAAACGCGCCGGUCGUUUUCGUGAUGCAAUUGAUUUUACACAAAAGUUUAUCGGAUAUUUUUAAUUUUCAAAUCAGAUGGGUCUGUAUAU